UGGGGGGGGGGGGGGGGGGGGGGGGGGGGGGGGGGGGGGGGGGGGGGGGGGGGGGGGGGGGGGGGGGGGGGGGGGGGGGGGGGGGGGGGGGGGGGGGGGGGGGGGGGGGGGGGGGGGGGGGGGGGGGGGGGGGGGGGGGGGGGGGGGGGGGGGGGGGGGGGGGGGGGGGGGGGGGGGGGGGGGGGGGGGGGGGGGGGGGGGGGGGGGGGGGGGGGGGGGGGGGGGGGGGGGGGGGGGGGGGGGGGG
rnacentral:lncRNA from 1 species